GGGGUUGUGGGUCAGUGUAGAGAGCUCACCUAGCACGUGUGAGGCCCUGGGUUCGAUCCUCAGCACCACA
rnacentral:tRNA from 1 species